rnacentral:lncRNA from 1 species
CUAAAGUGUAUUAUUUGCAGAGUCUUGGCAGUUUUACUCUUUCCACAUUUACCAACACAUCCGUUUCAGCUAUUUAUUGAUCCUACUUGUAUUUUAGAUGUGUGUUCUGAUAUCAAUCCUGUGGGUUGUUCACAUCUUGUAAAUUCCACAUGGGUUGUUUCAUUUGAAUCCCUUCCUUGUAAUCCAGAUUGUGUGUAGCCACGAAGUUACUGGUGGCAACAUGCUUCUGUUACCCAGUAAUUUAUAAGGCAUUAUUUUUCGAGAAAAACAAGAGAAUGUGAUCCCUUGAUGAAACCUCUGUGAAACUGCCGCCAACUGCUAUACGUAGGGUGGUCUUUUAAAUUUUUUAAGUGAACUACUUUUGUUAUUGAAACUUCAGAAAAUGAAAAGAAUGAUUGGGACACAAUUUUCAACUAUGGAAAGUUCAGUUUGGUACAACAAGGAUUUCUUUCAACACUAAGGAAACAUGCUUGGUUCCAAUGCAGGUAUUAAGUUGUAUACAGGAUCAUCAGUGUGUUAAUCCUGUUCAGGUGGAUGUCUGCAAGCAUAUGUUAAAAAAACAAAUUUACUAAAACUUUUCUAUUUAAAUUUAUGCUCUAUAAAAAACUAAUCCAAUGGACAGACAAAUUGGAUUUCCCAUUUAAAAGUAUACAAGUCUGAUGCACCUAAUAACCCAAUAAAAAUCCACAAUCAUGCAUCAAUCAUCAUGUCCCAUGCAUUAUUCACUACCUAUUAUCCAAGCCCAACUGACUUCCAUCUAUUGAGCUUAUAUUUUGUUGAAUCAUGUUUUCACUUCCAGUUUGGUUCGUCCCUGUACAGUAGUCCUAUGCUGUCAAUUUAAACGUGUUACACUGAACAUUUAGGCCUUGUUUGGAUGCCCAUGUAUCCACCUCAAUCCACAUGUGUUGGGUUGAGAGUGUAUAAGAGACAGCAUGUGGAUUGAGGUGGAUACAUGGGCAUCCAAACAAGGGCUUAUGUGUAUCUAACCAACUCAUCGGCCCCUCUUUAAACCGUGAUGAAAUCAAGCCCAUCCGAAUUAUCCUGUCAAUAUCCUGUUCGAGCCCACCUGACAGUAAGAACUAGUUUAUUUCACUCAUUUUAACCACAGUUUGCUAGGC